rnacentral:rRNA from 1 species
AAAGAAAGCGUAAUAGCUCACUGGUCGAGUCGGCCUGCGCGGAAGAUGUAACGGGGCUAAACCAUGCACCGAAGCUGCGGCAGCGACGCUUAUGCGUUGUUGGGUAGGGGAGCGUUCUGUAAGCCUGUGAAGGUGGCCUGUGAGGGUUGCUGGAGGUAUCAGAAGUGCGAAUGCUGACAUAAGUAACGAUAAAGCGGGUGAAAAGCCCGCUCGCCGGAAGACCAAGGGUUCCUGUCCAACGUUAAUCGGGGCAGG